GACGAACGCUGGCGGCGUGCCUAAUACAUGCAAGUCGAGCGGACAGAUAAGGAGCUUGCUCCUUUGAAGUCAGCGGCGGACGGGUGAGUAACACGUGGGCAACCUGCCUAUAAGACUGGGAUAACUCCGGGAAACCGGGGCUAAUACCGGAUAGAUUCUUUUCUCUCAUGAGGAAAGAAGGAAAGAUGGUUUCGGCUAUCACUUAUAGAUGGGCCCGCGGCGCAUUAGCUAGUUGGUAAGGUAACGGCUUACCAAGGCGACGAUGCGUAGCCGACCUGAGAGGGUGAUCGGCCACACUGGGACUGAGACACGGCCCAGACUCCUACGGGAGGCAGCAGUAGGGAAUCUUCCGCAAUGGACGAAAGUCUGACGGAGCAACGCCGCGUGAACGAAGAAGGCCUUCGGGUCGUAAAGUUCUGUUGUUAGGGAAGAAUAAGUACGAUAGUAACUGAUCGCACCUUGACGGUACCUAACCAGAAAGCCACGGCUAACUACGUGCCAGCCGCCGCCGUAAAAC
rnacentral:rRNA from 1 species